CUGACUGCCACUGGGGCAGUGCCUCUUUCUGGAGAUUGCUCCUUGUGGAGUUUACUGCAAGCUUACAGCAUUGGAUGAAUUCUGACUGGAUACUCGUGAGAACGUUGGUGGUGCCAUUCUGGGACUGUGUCCAACCUGCUCCUCACUGAGACCUCUGAGAGAGCUUUCCACUGGAACCGAAGCCCUUAAAAGUCGGAAGUUUGGGGAGGAGAUGCUGCAUGCAGCGAGUGGUGGGACAUCCAGAGUCAGAGCCAUCAUCACAGGAUUGCCUACGGAGUUAUGUGCCACUUCCACAAUGUUUUAUGGAGAGAGAUACCAUAAAUCACUGCAGACUGAGUGACCCAUUAGAGGCCAUAACCAAUAAAGAGGAGGACUGACUACAAGGAGUAAAACUGGAAGGACUGAUAAUGCCAGAUGCCAGCUAGCACAGAGCAAGGAAUGCAGAUGGAGUGUGAAGGUGCAAUGAGGAGACCUGGGUGACCAGCAUCCUCUUAAGGAAGUAAUGUAAAGAUGCAAUGAGAAAAGGAAAAGAAAUAAAAGAUUUGAGACUGGUACAGGGCAAGACUGAGGAUAGUCAUGAGUGUGUUCACAGAAAGGUGCAUCCUCCCUGCAUUUGCCUCUGGGAUUGAGAGUAGAAAGCAGAAAUGAAAUUAAUGCUGGAGAAAGGAAAGGAAAAAGCAGAGAGAAGCUAUAAUCAGUAUGUUCACUUUCAUACAAAGGUAGAAAGAAUGAAUAAGAAUUUAGCAAUGAGACCUAGAACAUUGGAAGAUAAAUGAUGUGAAGUGGCCAGAAAUGCACAAUGCUCUUCCUGAGAACAGCAGUUGAAUGGAUGAUAGAUACUGUUGACCAACAUUUAGAGAGAGGAUGCUGGCUGUAAGAAACAUGGAAAUGGUUGUGCUGCUGAGAAAACAUCAGGAACAGGGGAGAAUGGAGGACCUGAGGUCCUGAAAUCAGAGAUGAGAGCAGGUACCUUGGGUGGAAAGAACACAACAGACAAUGUGUAAUGCUCAGGAUGCAAUCUGACCUGCUAGCACUAAAAGAAGAUGGCAUGAGUAGGAGGAGGUGCUGGGCACAAACUGUGUGCUAUGUACCAUGCAGGAUAACAAUUCUGAGAAAAUCACUUCACAGGGUCACUUGCCAUUGCAAAGCAUCACAGGAGACAAGUAAAGCUGCCAUUCAACUACUUACAAAGAAGGACAAAGAUAAAAUAAAGAAAAAUAUUCCAAAGUACCCUCUGAAAGCAAAAUAAAACUCUAUUUCAGACACCUUAACAAUAUUUCAUUGCAAUUUUAUGGGCACUGAAACAAGAUCAGAACUGCAAUUCAACUUGGUUAAGACGUGAGAAGAGAGAUGGGAGUUCCUAGAAAGAGCCUGGCUGACUCAUUUGCACUUUGAUGCUGAAAAGAGAGCUGAUACCAAUGUGCAAGGGGCAUUUUGGGGACAACCUCUGGGGGAACAGAAAGAUCAGCUUAGCUUUGGUGGCAAGGACGUGCACCAGGGAGCCACCAUG